GCCUUCAUGGUGUAGUGGUCUGCUGCAUGCUCGACGCGUAACCGAGAGGUCCGAGGUUCGAUUCCCGGCGAAGGUG
rnacentral:tRNA from 1 species